GACGAACGCUGGCGGCGUGCUUAACACAUGCAAGUCGAACGGAAAGGCCCUGCUUUUGUGGGGUGCUCGAGUGGCGAACGGGUGAGUAACACGUGAGUAACCUGCCCUUGACUUUGGGAUAACUUCAGGAAACUGGGGCUAAUACCGGAUAGGAGCUCCUGCUGCAUGGUGGGGGUUGGAAAGUUUCGGCGGUUGGGGAUGGACUCGCGGCUUAUCAGCUUGUUGGCGGGGUAGUGGCUUACCAAGGCUUUGACGGGUAGCCGGCCUGAGAGGGUGACCGGCCACAUUGGGACUGAGAUACGGCCCAGACUCCUACGGGAGGCAGCAGUGGGGAAUAUUGCACAAUGGGCGGAAGACUGAUGCAGCAACGCCGCGUGCGGGAUGACGGCCUUCGGGUUGUAAACCGCUUUCGCCUGUGACGAAGCGUGAGUGACGGUAAUGGGUAAAGAAGCACCGGCUAACUACG
rnacentral:rRNA from 1 species